GCUCAAACCACUUAUUUGCAAUAGGUAUACUGUUCCAAGUGUUCCACCUCCCCCGUUGGUUGUUUCUGGACAGGAGUAUGAAGUCUCUUCUAUAGUCGAUUCCAGAUUUUCUCGUGGUUCAUUACAGUAUUUGGUUGAUUGGAAGGGGUAUGGGCCGGCCGAAUGUUCUUGGGUUUCCGGCUUCUGAUAUUCAUGCUGGUCGCAAGAUUUGUUCUCCCUCAAGUCUGGUCCUGCCAAGUUCUCCCUCAAGUCUGGUGGGCGGUCUUCAGGUGGGGGGUAAUGUCACAUGUUCCUCCUUACCUGGUGGUGCCUGUAAUGGCAAAUGCUUUUCUGGCAUUAACAGAGGUGCUACUCAGCAGCCCUGUGCCGAUGUAUCUGAAUCCUGUUAAAAGACGCCGGCUGCUGCGGAUCCAUUCUCAUUUGCAAUCCCACGUCCGCCCACGUUAAUGACGUGAAAGGAUGCGCACGCAUGUUCUGGGGUCAAAGGUCGGUUAUGGCGAAGCGGAUCCACAGGAGGGUUAUCUAACAUACCUAUUCCUUUAGCUCAUUGCCCUGUCGUGGUUUCCUUAGUGGUUGUCCGAGAGUGUGUUCCUGAGCGUUUAUUUUCUGGUUUUGACUUUGGCUUCGUUUUGACUUUCCUGUAUUCUGGUAUCAUUGACUUUUGGCUUUACCUCAUCAUUGUGUCUCAUUCUGUGUCCCCAACCUCGGCAAGUAUUCUGACUAUUCUUUGGUACGUUAAGUCCGGCCAUUCUAAGGCCCGGUAAGAC